UAACUUUGUGGUAACUCUUAUACACCUAAAAACAAGAUUACGCCGACUUAGUUUCUCAAAAGAAAGUACCAUGUUUACAAAUGACGAUGUCAGCUAGGUCCCAACGGUUCGCCGGGAAAAUGACAUGCCUGUAAAACGACGUCGCGAACACGAAAGGAACAUCUCACCAACGCUGGCUCCACACGUCAAGACGCCAAGUCAAGCAGGCCACAGGAGAGGCAGCAGGUGGUACAGCAAACACAGCCCAACAGCAAGCAGCUACCACUACAGGGUAAGACAGCAUCCUGCUGCUAGCAGUUCUCUCAAGGUGAUGACACAGUUUCUUGAGGUUGGAUGCUAUCAAUUAAAAUGCACAGCCAUUAGAAUUCUUGAUCCCUUGUCCCUUCACAGUGUCACCUUCCUCCCUUUGUUCCUUUGCACCGCCCAUGUAUGACACCGAGCUUGUAGGGCCGCCCCAUUUCCUUUCCAAUAA